rnacentral:lncRNA from 1 species
CUUCCUUCAAUGAAUUGGCAAGGAUUUGACCUUAAACCUUGGGAGAAAUGAAAAGGUAUUGUUCCUCAGAAGAGCAGAAGGUAUGGUCCAAUAGAAACCGCUGUAAUAGAUUUGAGCAUUUGAAGGGGUACGUGAAGAGAAUGCAGUAUUUUUAAGAAAUAGAAAACUAAUGAAUAAACUAAAACUGUGAUUAAGCAGGCCAUAUUAAGCCAUGGACCGAAAUCUAUAAAUAUUUACCAUAGCUUUCAUGUUUUCUCUUUAGCUCAAGAAGGAGAAGUUGCUUCACUGACCCAAAACAACCUCCAGACAUACAUUGUCUAUGUCCACAAGCCAGAGGGUCUGCAUUCUGUGCAAUCAGAAAGUUUGCACAGGUGGUAUCAGUCACUUUUGCCUGUCACCACUGCAAGCACCAAGCACCAGCAGCAACAGUUGCUUAAUUCAUACCGGCAUGCGGUUACUGGGUUUGCAGCAAGACUGACAGCAGAGGAAGUGAAAGCCAUGGAGAAGAAAGAAGAGGUUCUUUCUAUUCAUAACGAGACAAAUUUUUUUUUUUUUUUUUGCAAACAACUCAUAGUCCUGGAUUUCUGGGCUUGCACCCAGAGAAGGGGUUCUGGAAAAAAUCAAAUUUCGGCAAGGGUGUAACUAUUGGUGUUAUGGACACUGGCGUGUUACCAGAUCAUCCUUUGUUUCGGGAUGAAGGAAUGCCUCCUCCACCAGAUAGAUGGAAAGGCAGGUGUGACUUCAACCAGACAGCUAAUCGCACAUUCGUCUGCAACAACAAGAUCAUUGGUGCAAGAAGUUUCCAAGUCUAUGACAACCUUUUACAGACUUCUAGUGCUCAACCAGUUGAUGAGAUAGGCCAUGGCACUCAUACUGCUAGCACGGCUGCUGGGAAUUUUGUGAGAGGUGCCAAUCUAUAUAACAAUGCCAAUGGCAUGGCUUCUGGCGUAGCGCCUCAUGCUCACGUGGCAAUUUACCAGGUCUGCUCUCUUGAUGAAUGUUCGAGUACUGAUGUCCUUGCAGGAUUUGAUGCUGCAGUCGAGGAUGGUGUCGAUGUGAUUUCCAUCUCCAUGACCUCUCUAAAUGUCGGUCAACUGUUUGAAGACAGUAAUGCAUUGGCUGCUUUCAGUGCAAUGCAAAGAAGAAUUUUUGUGGUUUGUUCGGCUGGGAAUUCUGGCCCAUCCUCCAAUAGUGUAUAAAAUGCUGCUCCUUGGAUUCUCACUGUAGGAGCAAGCACCAUUGAUAGAAGCAUAAUAGACUUGGAAAUGGGGAUAAAUUUGAUGGGGAGUCAAUUUUUCAGCCUAACUCUACUAAAGGGUUAAACUCCAAAUUGUUGCCUUUGGUUCAACCAGGCAUUAAUGGUCAGAUGCUUUCUCAAAACUGUAACAAUGGGUCACUGAAAGAUAUUAAUGUGGAAGGAAAAGUAGUUUUCUGUAAGAGAGGUAUGGAAAUAAGUAGACUGGAUCAAGGAAAAGUAGUGAAAGCUGCAGGUGGAGCCGCCAUGCUUCUUGUGAACCAAGAACAGGAGGGCUUUACCACCUACACUGACCCCCAUGUUCUUCCUGCAUCCCAUUUGAGUUAUGUUGCAGGCCUGAACAUCAAGCACUAUAUAAACAAAACCUCUAAAUCGAUAGCCACAGUCAAAUUCAAAGGAACUGUAAUUGGAAACUCAUCUGCUCCCAUGGUGGCUUCCUUCUGCUCUAGGGGACCAAGCUCCAUAUGUCCCGGGAUUUUGAAGCCUGACAUUAUUGGACCGGGAGUGCCCAUUCUAGCAGCCUCACCUUUCCCUAUUGACAAGAGGAAGUCGAAUUCGAAAUCAAACUUCAAUGUGAUGUCAGGUACCUCAAUGUCAUGUCCUCACCUGAGUGGCAUUGCAGCUUUGCUAAAGAGUUCCCACCCUGACUGGUCACCUGCUGCUAUUAAGUGUGCAAUCAUGACUACAGCUGAGGUUGUAAACCAGAAAGGCCAGCCAAUCACUGAUGAAACACUCCAGCCAGCCAGUGUCUUUGCCAUUGGCGCAGCCCAUCCAAACUCAUCAAGGGCAAAUGAUCCGGGUCUCGUCUAUGACAUCAAACCCCUUGAUUACAUACCUUACUUGUGCGGUAAGAAUUACACUGACAGACAUGUUGGGGUUCUGUUGCAAGGCAAGGUGAACUGCUCUUUGGAAAAACCCAUAUCUGAAGCUCAACUAAAUUAUCCUUCAUUUUCCAUUGUAUUGGGGCUCACUCCUCAGACUUAUACAAGAGAGGUAACAAACUUUGGCAAGGCCGAUUCUUCAGACACUGUGAAGGUUGCUCCACCCCAAGGAAUCAGUGUCAGCAUCAAGCCUAAACUUAUUACAUUCUCAGAGAUGAAUCAGAAGGCAAAAUAUGCGGUUACUUUUAGACGAAGCAAGGAUGAAGGAAAAUCAGAUAAAACUGCACUAGUUGUUCAGUAUGCUGAGGGAUCUCUGACAUGGGUUUCUGAUCAAUAUUCAGUUAGGAGCCCAAUAGCUAUCAAAUUACCAUUAGAAUGA